GGAUUCUGUGGGAGUUAUGGGGUUUCUAUGGGGCAGUGGGGACUAUCGGGUCUGUUGGGUGUCUAUAUGGCAAGGGGUGUCUAUGAGAUGUCUGUGGGGCAGUGGAGGGCUAUGGGGUUUCCGUGGGGGUCUAUGGGGUGUCUAUGGGGCCGUGGGACGGGGGGAGGUGGCACUGUUUCCCCCCCUUCCCAACAGAUGCAGCGCUGUCACAGGAGAUCCAGCGCCUGAGGGACACUCAGCAACUGCUGGAGAGCAACGGCUCAGCACUGGCAGCGGCACUGGCAGCACUGGAGGGGAACCAAACGCAGCUGAAGAAGCACGGUAUGGAGACGGCGGCGCUGCUGGACCUCCUCUCUGCCAACCAGAGUGCAACGCGGCUCGAGGGUGGGA